CUCUCCCAUUCUUUAUCUCUGAACUUCAUUUGUUGGUGAUUUUGUUGAUGGGUACCUUUCAAUAGUUGUAUGUGGCAAUGCAACCCAAUGUAGGGAUAAUAAGAGCAGAUAUAAUUUGUGCUAUUUACUGGGAGACUUAAUUUUAUUAAUUGAUUAUUGUUCUCAGUUUGAAUCCUUACCAAGCACAAUUUAUGAAUCUCCAUUACUUCUAAUUGAAAAUGGUAUGGCACUAAUUCAAUAGCGUAGCAAGUUAAAUUUUUUUCCCUCUUAUUGAAUAGUUGUUGAGACUUGAUCAAUUAAUAAUGGAAACAAAUGAAAGCAUUCUACGAGUAUGAUCUAGUGACUGUAAUAGCAUUAAUGGGAAGUAUGAAACUGAUAGUAAUAGAACGCUAAGGCAAAUGCAAGAGAGAGAGAUUAUGAUUUAUUUGAUUAAUCUAUAUGGAGAUAUCCUUGCUGUUCCGGGAGGGUCAUAACAUAAAAGGGAUUGCAAAGGAUGGUAAAUUUGGAUUACUUUCAACUUGCAGUCAGUGUGCUUUCAGCAGCUUUCUAUUUUGGUGGUUUCCUCUUACUUCCUCAGGCAUAUUAGAACCUUAUGUAUUUUGUGGUGACCGUUGACUGAUCAAUGAUGAACUUUCAGAUAUAAUGGUCCUGCCAUAAGAGAAAUGGGAAGGCAAGAGAGUGAUUUAGGUGAAACCUGGUGGGCGUACUUUGAUGCCUAAGUUGUUCUAGCUUUAAUGGAGGUAAAACCGAAUGUGGAGGAAUGAGGUAAAUAAAGAAUAAAGGAAUUUAAGCUUAUAAGGGCUGAAGGAGAUACAUGUACUAUUGAGGAAUGUCUCUGGUAUAGUGAGUCAAAGUGGGUCACAUUUAGAUUAUUGUGAUGAGUGUUCAUGGGCUGUGGUAUUGGUAGGGUCACAUUUAGAUUAUUGUGAUGAGUGUUCAUGGGCUGUGGUAUUGGUAGGAUUAGCUACUAUCAGUAGCAUGAUCAUGGUCUGGCUGGAUCCCUUUGAUUGGAUGAGUUGGAAAAAAUCUCAGCUGGUGAUGUUCUGUCUUUGUGUGUCAAGUACUAAAUUCGAGCACUCUUAUCUAGGUCAAGCAGUAUUGGGUUGACUUGGUGAAUGUGUACAGGUUGUUAUGGAAUCAUUUGCAGCACAUCAGGGCAAAAGGGUAUGUUUUCAGUAUUAAAAGACUUGGGAUUCUUGGUUUCUUUUUGAGCUAGUAGUACCUCCUUCCUCAUUAUAAUGGUUUUGAGCAGAUAUUUUGGUAAAUUGUGUCCAAAGGAUUUUAGCAGGCUAUUAAAGGAGAAGUAUAAUUUAUCAACAUUAAUAUUUUUUACUAGGAAUUAUCAAAAUUCCUUCACAGAUCAUACAUAGAUGGCACUAAUUGAUGAAUACCAAACUUAUGAAUGGUAUGUAAUGAGAGAAAUAGAAGAUAGUGAUCAAGUUGGAACUUGAUGGAGACACUCCAAUGCUUAAGUAGCUGUGACUUUAAUGGAGGUGAGUGAAUGAGGUGGAGGGAGUUAAAUAAAGAACAAAAGGAGUUUGGAGUAUGAGGUGGAAAAAGAUAUGUCUUAAAGAAUGUCCCUAUAUUGUGAGUGAAAGUGGAUCACAUUAGAUAGACUUUUUAAUAGGCUAUCUCUGCGCUAUUAUAGGGUUAUCUGCUGUUAGCAAGAGGAGUUUGGUCUAAUAUGUUAUAGAUGCUUUCAUUGGAAAGAUGUACCGGCGGUGCAAUCAGGAAGCUCACAACAGGAGGAAAUUAAAGCGCUGAUUGGGCUCUCGGCAAGAAAGGAAUCAGGAAAUGGCAAUUAUCAUGGCAAUUACCUUCAUUCAGAAUUACAUUAUGCUGUUAUCUUGUCCACAACAGGAGGAAAUUAAAGCGCUGAUUGGGCUCUCAGCAAGAAAGGAAUCAGGAAAUGGCAAUUAUCAUGGCAAUUACCUUCAUUCAGAAUUACAUUAUGCUGUUAUCUUGUCCAGCAAUUAUCUUAUUUGUUCUGAUUGCAGAUCAGUAGGAAAUUAUCAUGUAAUUGAAUUCUACGUCCUUAAUGUAAUUUCUCUUAUUUAAAGAGAGUUUACAUCAAUAAAGAAAGCAAUAGGAAUGCAGCUCACAAUAUCGUCCACUGUUGAUCAUUUCAUUUUUGUGGUUCAAGCACCUUAAAUCUCUGUUAUCUUUUCCUGUUUGGAUUUCUUUCAAUUCUCUCCUCUACCCUUGUUGCUAUGUUCUCCAUUUUAGUCUUGGAUCUUGCUGUUUUUCUCUGUUUCCUUUUUUUUUUUUAAUGAAUUUUGACCAUGUCUCCUCUUUUUCUUUAAUAACCAUGCUGUUGUAAUCUUGAAUUUUUGCUAUGUUUUUAUCUUUAAUCUGUAUCAUUGUUGUAAAUUUUUUGACUUUUUUUUUGAAAAAACUUGGGAGUUUUUCAGAGGGUUAAUUUGUUGAUCUUCAAUUUUAUCUUAGAGAUUUUUUUUUUAACUUAAUAUUUACGUUAUGGAAAUUGUUACUUCUUUUUUUCUCAAUUUGUUUGGAUAACAUAAUUUCUUUUCUCUAAAGAUUAAUAAUUUCUUAAAAAUGUUGUGGAAUUAAUAUUGAUUUUUUAAUAAACUUUUUCGAUCCUUGUGUCACUCAGACUCUUGUCUAUUCCUAUGUCUAGAAUCUCUCAGCAUGCCUUUGAUAACUAUGUUUAAAUAGUAAAUACAAGCUCUCUUAUAUAGGUCAAGCAAUGUCGGGUCGACUUGGUGAAGUCAGCCAUCUCGACCUCAUUGACCUACUCAGUGAAUGUCUGCCAACUUAGUUACCUUGGUCGUAACUUGCAAGUCAUCUGAUCCUGUAUCUCUUCAUCAUUUUCAUUCUCAUCGUGGCUUUUUUGGUCCAUUGACUUCUUUGAUUAUACAUAAGGAGUGCUUUGGAAUUGUCAACCUACAAAUAUUGCUUUCUCAUUACCUGCCAAAUUUUAGCCUUCCUACUGACUAAUGCAAUGCUAAUUGUGCAAACUUUUGUCAUUUGGGUCAUAACGAUAGUACCUGCUAGCUUCUGUGCAGGUCAUACUUUAUUCCCCUGAUUAAUAGUUUUCUUGUUAUAUGCUGUUAUGUUCAUAUGUGAUAUUAGUUCACUCUUGAGUAUGACUAGUAUGACUGUCCACAAUGGCUUCGAUCUGUUUGAGAUAAUGCUACAGUGUUUUUCCAAGUGUAGUGGAUUGGUCUUUACAAUAAUGGUUUUGGGUCUGGUUCUUGCUAGUUGCUACAACGAUGCAUAAAUUAAACUUAGAAUCAUCUAGUUACAAACUUACAACACCUAAUCACAUUUUAGUUCAUUUUGGUAGUGGUGAUUGUUCUUAAGUUAUUAUUCUUUGCUGGGAGUGAAUUGGUCUAUAUUAUACUGUUUUCUGGUCUGGUUGUUGCUUAAGUACAAUGAUGCACAAAUUUUGGAUCAUCUAGCUAAAACACUGAAUGGAGCUGUACUUUACUUUUCUGGUAAUAACAGUGUUUAAGUGAUUACCUUUUUGUUGAUAUUUUAUAAAUAAUCCCUGAGGAAAUGGACAUGAACUUUUCCAAAUAAUUCCACCAGAAACUGGUAGCCAAUUUAUUUGUUUGAUGCUGUAUCUUUUAUUAAAACCACCAGAUUCUUUAAACUAAUAAUUAGGCUUGCAACAUGAAGAAAGUUUUGUGCAUCAUCCAGUAAAAUGUUGAGAGCAAUAAGAUCUAACAAUUCCAAGAAAGAAUUUUGAACAAGCAAUCUAUUAGUUUUAGAUAUUAACAAAGCAACGUGUAAAAUGAAAAUCAAUAAAUUGUAUUCAAAUCCAAUUUUUUGGACUUAUAGAGGAUGUGGAUUAAUAGAAAAAAUUUGAAAUUGAAGGAGUUACCUACAAAGUGACAUUGGUAUCUUUAUUCUACGUGACCCAUUCUUUUUGAGAAAAUGCUGCAUGUGCAUGCCAUGCAUGCACACAGAGUAUGAGAAGACUUUGUUCAUUGCUUUGCAUGGACAGCAGUCCAAAGUUGCAUUUGCCACUUACUAAUUUGAGGAAGAGAAGACAUCUUUUUAUGGGUUCACAUUUUGUGUGAGAUAAGACUGAAAUGUCAAAACUCCAUUAUCAAUUGCAUUAGGUUGUUGCUAAUUACUCAUUAAUUAUAGCCUUUAGUUUUCUCCUUUUUUGGGUAUAUGCUGGCCCUUGUCCAAAGAGGUACUAGGCAUCAUGACUAUCAGUUAUUUGAGAUGUACCAAUUCUUCAUAAGGAGUGUGACUCUGUGUAUUUUGUUGUUAUAAGUUAAGAGAUGAAAGGAAACAUUAAUUAUAGGAGACGAGCAAUAAUUAAUGUGAGUUGAUAUAGGAGACAAACAAUAAAAUGUUGGAGGACUUGGGUGGGGGGUGUUCCUUGAAGGUGUUGUAAUGUCAGAAUGUCUAAUCUAAGCAGGCUUGAGUUGGUGUAAUUGCAUAGAGAAAGAGGGCAAAUUUUUUAAGGUGAUGAGAAACAUGGUUACUCUCUGAUUUUUAUUUGCCAUGGUUCCAGUAACCAGUGUCUAGUUAUAUAUAUUAUAGAUGAGGGCUUUUUCCAGAGGAGGAAGUGUUGCAUGAGUGAUGCAUGAGGAAGAAGUAGAGAGGGUGUGAGCAGGAAGGAAAGGGCAAUCUCCAAUGUCAAGUGCAAGUUAGAGAGCAGCAGUAUCUCCAUCAUUGAGGAGAAUCAAAAUAGAUGGAAUGGAAGUGAAAAGGGUAAUUCCAAAUUAAUUGCAUUAACAAUAUUUGUAUCAAGAAAGAGGACUUUGAUUUAGAGCAGAAACUACUGUGAUGUGCUCUAAGAAAUGCACAAUUGGCAUUCUGACACACUUUAGAAAGGUUAGAGAGAUUUACCGUCCUCAGUAAAAGAAUUUUUACCCCACCAAGCCAACACUCCCUAUGUCAUUCCAAUUGCUAUUAGAGUUUAAUAGUUAUGCUGCUUAAUCCAAAUCACUUAUUUGUAGAUGUAUAUUGUUGGGCAGCUCCUGCAAAUUGUUGAAUGAUCGACUUGUAACUUCUGCAUGCUGCGUCUAGAUAUGGGGAACAUGACAAUUAAAUGUAAAUAAUAUUAAAUUUAGUUAUGCAUGUUGCAUGAUAGAUAUUUUUAUUAAAACUGCAUAUUGGAUAGUAAUUAUGUUUAAUGGUAAUAAUCAUAAUUAAAAAAAUAAUUAAUAGCAUCUAAACUUAUCAAUGAACAUAGUUUCUUGAUAAUUGCUGAAGGGCCUGUAGCUUGGGUCUUGAAGGCUCCUAACAUUUGUUAUUUCAUAUGUGCUUUUCUCAAAACUAUAUUGCAAAUUUGUUCCCCCUUGAAAUUUCACUGAAGGGGGACAAUUGCGAUAAAACACCUUGGAUUCUUUUCAACCAUCUUUCGCAUGUAUCUCUCUCUUCCCCCCAGUUGAUUUCCUAAUAUUUGACCUUUUAUUUGGCUGAUUCCAUUUGGAAAUUUGAGGUUUUUUAAAACUAAAGGUUUUUGUUUGGUUAGCAAUUUUUUUUUGGUCAGUUGAUACUAAACUAGAUUAGUAGCAACAUUUUGUUGCAGGUGAGCUCCCUCUUUCUCUAUGCCCUCCCCCCUCUUGCUUAGCUUUUUACACAUUUUUAUUGGCUUGUCAUUCCUUUUGUAUUAGCAUGCCAAAAAGGUUCAGUGAAUCAACUGGUCAGUAAUUCAGUGGAAAGAAAGUCAUAGUUCUGUAGUAUGCUAUAGUUGCUUUUUUUUAGAAAGGAAUUCUAAUGUUCUUGGUGAUAUGGCACACGUCAUUUUCCGAGCUUAUGUUUCAUGUUUAGCCUCUAGCAUUGCAAAUUGCUUGGCUGAACUCCAUUUUCCUAUGUUCUCAAUCUCAUAUUUGGUAUAAUUUCAUGUUUCAUGUAUUAUUUCAUCUUUGACAUAAAUGUCAUGAGUAUAUAUAUAUUGUCUAAUAUUCUCGCUCUUCAUUUUGCCAUGCUAUAUGUCUUGGGAUAUAACAUGGAAUAUGUGCCUGACACAUAUCCAUGCAUUUGGACACUUGAGUGACAUAUUCAUGCAUAGUUAAUAUAGCAUUCUUUUCUCUCAAAAUGAAGAGCGUGCACUUAGAUGGAAAAUAGUUAUUGUAUUGUAGUUUGGAUGAUGCAUUUGGUUGUAUUUGAUUAUUUAUACAUAUAGUAAUUGUUAUUUUAUAAUUUUAUAUUUUAUUUUUAUUUUUAUUUUAUAUAAAAUAACAUAUCCAACCACCUAAGCCUAAAUUUAGAUUUGUAUCCUAUAUUUUCUAUUUAGAAAGUUGAUAAGUUAGACAUAAAGAUGUGUACCCAUCUCAGACACCAAUAGUCCCAACAAAAGUGUGUGUGUAUAUAUAUAUAUGUGUAUGUAUGUAUAUCAACUUCACUUUUUAUCUUCAUUUAUGUUAUCAAGAUGAUUUAUCCUUGUUCUUUUAAGGGAUAACAAUUACUAAGUCCUAAUACUUCAUUGAGUUUUUAAGUAUUAGAUUUCAUUAGUACAGCAUGCUUUUCAUUUUAAAUUUUACUCUUUUUACUUUUAAAAAUGAUAGAAAAGCAUUCUUAAUUUUU